UUAGGCUGGACAUCGGGAAGAAUGUCUUCACGGAAAGGGUGAUUAGACACUGGAAUGGGCUGCCCAGGGAGGUGGUGGAGUCACUGUCCCGGGAGAUGUUUAAGGAAAGUCUGGACGUGGCACUCAGUGACAGGGUCUGACGGACAUAGUGGUGACUGGUUAUGGGUGGGAAUCGAUGAUCUCAGAGGUCUUUCCCAACCUGAUUGAUUCUGUGACCCUGUGUGGUUCUGUAAUAUUUCUGACUUGUUGAGUGUAUCGUGACUUAAAGCAUCUCCACCCCUGGCUUUCCACCCCAGGUGCCUGGGCCACAUUCAGUGCUGGGGAGGUACCUGGGCCACAUUCAGUGCUGGGGAGGUGCCACACUGGUGCAGCGCCCUUGGCAAGCACAGAGGUGCCUAAGGCCAAGUGUCACUCCUGAGCUAGGCUGUGAUUUCCCUCUUCGACAAAUGUUUUCUCCGUUUUGCCUGCAGACAUUUCCCAGAGGUGCUUGGGCUUCCCUCUGCUCGGCGGUGACACCCAGUUAUGGCAGAAACCCCCGUGCCCCCUACCUGCUGUAAAUAACACCCAGCACCCCGCAGCGAAGAUGCUUCUCUUUCUGUCCCAGAUUCACCAGCAGGAAAAACGUCCUGGCUUCACUUCAGGACUUCAGCAAAGUCCUGAGCCUUUUCUCCAGACAUUGAUGGGAGCUUGCUGUUAUCUUCAGUGCAAGAGCAGCCCUGCUCCUGUCCUUGCACUGUCACUUCAUUUAUUGCCAAUUAACUGACUCGUUCGAGCUGAGCAGGGUCAGCAGAUAAUAGGAAUCUGGGCAUUUGUGGGGGAAAAGACACAGUGCAAAUGCCAAGGAAAUAUGGCCAGGAGGCACUUGGAAAGCCAAGUGAGCGACUGGGAAACGGUAAAAAUCAACCUCUCAGCCCUCUUGGGUGGGGCACACAGGGCACGCUGCACCUGAGCUCCGACAGCUCCUGUUUGUCCGGCGAGCGCACCAGCCACCUGACACAUUCCCGGUCGCUCCGGAGCUUUGUUUCCUGUGACCAACACCCAUUUGCACUAUUUCCUAAACAAGCAAGGGCUCAUCAGCGAGUGCCAUCGGUCCCACUCCUGCUUUCCCUUUGAACUGUCUCUGCGGGCUGGGGAGCAGCCAAGUUCAAACAACCCGUGCUCGGGCAUCAGCCUGGGAGGACAUAGAGCAUUAACAGAUUUAAUAGCACCAAACAGAUCAAAGCUUUCAAAUUGCAUAAUUAAAAAAUAUCCCUGAGGCACCAGUCUGUGAUACCACAGGACGCCAACAUGGGGUGCAGAGACCUGUGACUACAUUCGUCUGAAAUCUUUCCCGAGUGUUUAAAAAGGUGUAAAAAUCCACUAUUUAUUUUAUUUUAUUUUAUUUUAAAACACAUUUUAUUCCAACAUAUAACCGUGUGUAGUUGAACAGUGGCUGUGCAAGCAGGGCAUGGGGCAGGGAGAACCCUGGUUUUUACAAUAAAGAUUAAAAUAAAAUAAAAUAUUUUUUUAUUCUAUGCCUUUCUCUCUCUCUCUUACUUUUCCAUGU